GGAGGCGUGUCGUCACCGGUGUGGCGCCCGGUCUUCAAAACCGGUGGCAGGCUUAACCGUCUGUGGUAGGUUCGACUCCUAUACGCCUCC
rnacentral:tRNA from 1 species